AGAGUUUGAUCCUGGCUCAGAACGAACGCUGGCGGCGUGGCUAAGACAUGCAAGUCGAACGGACCGUUUAAUUGGGUAACUGAGAAAGCGGUUAGUGGCGAAAGGGUGAGGAAUAGAUAGGUAACGUACCCCGAACUUCGGAAUAGCGUCGGAAGCUUGCUUCCUACCGAAAGGGGCGGUAAUACCGGAUAAUGUCCCUGGUUGCAGGAUCGGGGACCAAAGAUUUAUCGGUUUGGGAGCGGCCUAUCUCCUAUCAGCUAGUUGGUGAGGUAACGGCCCACCAAGGCGACGACGGGUAGCGGGACUGAGAGGUUGACCCGCCACAUCGGGACUGAGACACUGCCCGGACCUCCACGGAGGGCUGCAGUAACGAAUAUUGGGCAAUGAGCGAAAGCUUGACCCAGCGACGCCGCGUGUAGGAGGAAGUCUUUCGGGAUGUAAACUACUGUCAGGGGGAAGAAAGUCCGUUUCGGCGGAUUGAUCUAACCCAGAGGAAGUCACGGCUAACUUCGUGCCAGCAGCCGCGGUAAGACGAAGGUGGCAAGCGUUGUUCGGUAUCACUGGGCUUAAAGCGUGUGUAGGCGGAAGCGUAAGCGUUUUGUGAAAUCCCUCGGCUUAACCGAGGAAUUGCUUGACGAACUGCGUUUCUUGAGGCAGGUAGGGGUGCGCAGAACUCUUGGUGGAGCGGUGGAAUGCGUAGAUAUCAAGAGGAAUGCCGGUGGAGAAGUCGGUGCACUGGGCCUGACCUGACGCUGAGACACGAAAGCGUGGGGAGCGAACGGGAUUAGAUACCCCGGUAGUCCACGCCGUAAACGAUGUCUACUAGGUUGUGGCGGUUCUGACGCCGGCACAGCCGAAGCUAAAGUGUUAAGUAGACCGCCUGGGGAGUACGGUCGCAAGGCUAAAACUCAAAGGAAUUGACGGGGGCUCACACAAGCGGUGGAGCAUGU
rnacentral:rRNA from 1 species